rnacentral:lncRNA from 1 species
AAUACACUUUAACACCGAUAAAAUUUACCAUGUUUAUAUGACUGACACAGUGUCAUCUACAAACCCACAAAGGACUUUCGCCAGAAUCUGGCCUAGCCAGGCAGGAGCAGCAGGUGAUGGGAGCAAGGUUGGGAACUAAGGGGUAUCCCAUGUGGCACCAGGAAUAAUGGGGAGCUCUCUGUAACUGCCUGUACUUGACGUGAGAAGUGCCUCUGUGGUUCUGGCUGCCUGUACUGACCAUCUGGUCGGCAGGCACUGGGCUACACGCUUUCCUUGCAUUACAUCAUUUCCUUCUCCAGGAGGCAGUAGUGGUACCUAUUUCACAAAGAAAUCCAAAGCUCAGCGCAUUCAGGUCACUACCCAAGCGCACAUUGUAAGGAAAGAGUUGGGUCUGGGGCUUUCUCUGACUCCAUGGGCUCUCCUCACUCAAAGGGACCGUGUGUGGUGGACCUUCGCCCUCUGAUGCUUAUGUGUUUCAUGUUUUUCAUCCUAAAUUUGGCACUGCAUGUUUCUCUCCUGAGAAACAGACACCACUUCAUUUUGCUGCUAAAAUCCCUUACCUCUGAAAUAUUAGGCUUGUCUACAAGUCCUAUGAACUGUGCGCUGUACACCAGCCUCCUAAAAGACCUGCAGCCCACGUGUCACCUGCUCAGCCUCACAAGCAAGCACUCUCUGCAGCCGCAUUAGUUUGCCUAGGUUUUUCACCAGGGAUCUUUAAUGCCUUAUCCUGGUCAUAGACUGUAAGAGAAUUUCCAAUUCUUAAAUUCCCUAUACACUUUGACUGAUUUAUCUUGGAGUCUAUAACUUUUCUCAUCCUGGUCCAUUUCUCUCUUUUAUAUUUGCUCUUAGUUAAGUUUUUGAGCUACCUCUCCAUUUUCUUUGGGAUCAUUGUGGUUCUUGAACGCUGCUAGGAUAUCUCUUUAAUGUUAGAUUCCAAAAUAUAUGCCCAGAAUUUGUGAGGAAUUCCUCCAUAGACAAAAGAGAGCUGUUCAUUUGCUUUUUCAGUGAGUGCCAUUGGAUUACUCCCUGUGACAAGGAGCAGCCAUGGUUUUUCCUAUAAAUAACUUUCUACUGCUUCCUUCAUUAAAGACUAGUGGCCAUUUGAGAAGUGAGACAGUUCCAAUCAGGACUGGAGUUUGUCUUUUUCUGUUUACAUUUGGCAAAGAGUGGUACGCCAUCAGGGCAGAGUGCAAAGCAGAAGAGGGCGUAAGAGCCAGGAUGGGAGUGGAGCUUCGUACCCCCAGCAAUGUCUGCUGUGGGGCAGCAUCCCUGCCUUGGUGCAUUUACCAGCUGCGUGAAGCUCUCCAAAAGCAAGCAUCCAAGGCUGACACUGCCUCAGGAGAAGAAGGCCAGGUCACACCGUUCCUUUUGCCCCAUAGUGGGCUAUGUAUUUCCUGCACCCAGUGUGAGUGGAGUGAGGAGAAAUGAACAAGCAAACGUGCAAUUUUGUUUGGCCCAAGUCAUUUCAACAUCUGUAAUGCAACCAAGAAUUCAUCCAUCACCAAAUAAAGUCAUUACUGAGGCAGCUGUUAUCCAGACAUGGCUCUCAGCUGGGGCGGUGGGAGAGCAAUUUAUCUCUUAGCAGCAGCUUGCCAACAUCUAACUAGCGAUUUACAGGGGAGGAGAAAUCCUCAAAAUAUAAGGUUCAGGAAGACAUGUUGAAAACGGCUCUUCAAACUCUUUUGAAAUUAUGUCUAUUGUUUUUCAAUUUAGAAAAUACUCAUGGAAAAUUCAGAAGCCUGUAUACAGGAAAAAAAUGACUUUAAGCAAGAUAACCAUCAUUCAUCUUUUAAUAUAUUCCCCUUCCAGGCAUUUCUCCAUAUAUUAGAUAAAUAGCACGACAUCUACUCGGAGCUGUUUUCCUAGGGAUGUCAGCGUCAGCGUUUGUUGCGAGAAGUCUCGGCAGCCCCGUUUUCCUCUCUCACCCCUGGAAUCCCCUCCAGAUGUGGUUAGUUCACAGCGUGUUCAGCUCAAAGUGCCUUGAUGCGAGGUAAGUCCCAGCACAUUUCUCGGAAGCCCAGCAAUGCCGUGGCGUCUGAGGGUCGGCCUGAAUCAGAGAGCGCGGAAGACUGAGUGUCUAAUCGGAUUAGUGGGAGAAAAGGCUCUGAACCGUGUCCUGCGGUCCCUGGACUUGAAGCCUCCUGGAUUAAGAGCAAUAACCUGUGAUUUGUGCAGCCUCUGCUCCAUUGUGGAAGGACAAAGACAAAAGAUCCAUCGUCUCUCAGAUCUUCUGGUCCCCCUUUGUCUUUUUAGUGCUGCACCUGCAGUACAUGGAGGCUCCCAGGCUAGGGGUGGAAUGGGAAUUGCAGUUGCCAGUCUACACCUCAGCCAUGGCAACACCAGAUCCCCGAGCUGCCUCUGCGACCUACCCAACAACUCUCGGCAAUGCCGGCUCCUUAACCCACUGAGCGAGACCAGGGAUCGAACCUGAGUCUUCAUGGAUACUAUUUGGAUUCGUUACCGCUGAGCCAAGAUUGGAAGAGCAAGACAGGGACUCUGAAGACCAUCAAUCCAGACCCUCUUCAGUCAAUGGAGACGCUGACUGUCCACCUCUCUGCCUAAGAGGACAUCACACUCAGAAAAGUGUGUGAAGCGGGGUGGCACUGGACAGAGCCAGUGUUGUGGAAUUAAUUCUGGAAUCUGCACAUCUGCCUGGGUCCAGUGCUAACCAACCUCUUCCCAGCUCUCAGUUUCCCAGCUCCUUUCCAUUCCUCUGCCUUUGACGUAGUACACGAGCUCUCUGCAAACUAGUGUUUUCAUGAAUUCCCAGCACCAAAAUAAGGAACGUGAAACCCUUGCUUAUUUCUUCAUGAGCUUCUACUGUACAGCACAGAGAACUAUAUCGUCUCUUGGGAUAGAUCACGAUGGAAGAUAAUAUAAGAAAAAGAAUGCGUGUGUAUUUAUGACUGAAUCACAUUGCUAUACAGAAGAAAUUGGCACAACCUUAUAAAUCAACUAUACUUUAAAAAAAAAAA